GCUUGUCUCAAAGAUUAAGCCAUGCAUGUCUAAGUAUAAAUAAUUCUAUACUGUGAAACUGCGAAUGGCUCAUUAUAUCAGUUAUAGUUUAUUUGAUAGUCCCUUACUACUUGGAUAACCGUAGUAACUCUAGAGCUAAUACAUGCGCAAAUUCCCGACUGUCGCAAGGCGGAAAGGAUGUAUUUAUUAGAUCCAACCAGCCCGGUUCGCCGGAGUCCCUGGUGAGUCAUAAUAACUGAGCGAAUCGCAUAGCUUUAAUGCUGGCGAUGGGUCAUUCAAAUUUCUGCCCUAUCAACUUUCGACGGUAGGAUAGAGGCCUACUGUGGUGAUAACGGGUAACGAAGAAUAAGGGUUCGAUUUCGGAGAGGGAGCCUGAGAAACGGCUACCACAUCCAAGGAAGGCAGCAGG
rnacentral:rRNA from 1 species